rnacentral:lncRNA from 1 species
GAGUGAACAACCUCCGACACCAGUCGGAGAAAACUUACAAGGUUGGUGUGGCAUGCUCCCUUCUGAAUACGCUCCGGGUCAGUCAACUGCCAGGCAGGAGCAGCACACUCCAGGGUGGGGCGUAUGUAGCCUGUGCAAAUUCUCACUAGGUCUUCCUGUGGCACAUGGAACCUUUUAAGGCAGUGAAUGAGAAAAGGUACUCUGUUGCUCUUUUUUUUCUUUUUUCUUUCACCUUUAUAUAACCAGGUAGGCCAGUCUCAUUUACAACUGUGACCUGGCCAAGAUAAAGCAAAGCAGUGCAACAAAAACAACAACACAGAGUUACACAUAAACAAAUGUACAGUCAAUAACACAAAAGAAAAGAAAAAUUGAAAAAUCUAUGUACAUUGUGUGCAAAUGUAGAAAAGUAGGGAGGUAGGCAAUAAAUAGGCCAUAGAGGCAAAAAUAAUUACAAUUUGUGAUAGAUGUGCAGAUGAUGAUGUGCAAGUAGAGAUACUGGGGUGCAAAAGAGCAAGAGGGUAAGUAAUAAUAUGGGGAUGAGGUAGUUGGGUGUGUUAUUUACAGAUUGGCUGUGCACAGCUACAGUGAUCGGUAAGCUGCUCUGACAGCUGAUGCUUAAAGUUAGAGAGGGAGAUAUAAGACUCCAGCUUCAGAGAUUUUUGUAAGUCGUUCCAGUCAUUGGCAGCAGAGAACUGGAAGGAAAGGCGGCCAAAGGAAGUGUUGGCUUUGGGGAUGACCAGUGCAAUUUACCUGCUGGAGUGUGUGUUAUGGUGUGGGUGUUGCAAUGGUGACCAGUGAGCUGAGAUAAGGCGGGGCUUUAUCUAGCAAAUACUUAUAGAUGACCUGGAGCCAGUGGGUUUGGAGACGGAUAUGUAGUGAGAGCCAGCCAACGAGAGUGUACAGGUCGCCGUGGUGGGUAGUAUAUGGGGCUUUGGUGAUAAAAUGGAUGGCACUGUGAUAGACUACAUCCAGUUUGCUGAGUAGAGUGUUGGGGGAUAUUUUGUAAAUGACAACACCGAAGUAAAGGAUCGGUAGGAUAGUCAGUUUUACGAGGGUAUGUUUGGCGUAAUGAGUGAAACAGGC